GUGUUUUUUCAGUUCAAAGCAACUGAUGUCAUGCCAGUGAUCUGUCACAACCCACCAGAGUCUUAGAGCAUGCUCCUGAGAAAAUUCCAGCUGUACCAGCCCAAGGCAGUGUGAACAUUCAUGCCUGUAUCAAGGAUGCAAUCACCUGCCCCAGUUCCUCCCUUCCACCAAAAAACCCCUGGCUCCCUGUGCCAGCUCUUCUCUGGAUUCCUGGUGUUCGAUAAGCUCCUACUGGCUGCACAUAAGAUCAUCCCAAGAAACUGCAAAGGACUAAAGUCCACUACAUCUCUGUUUCAGUGACAUCAACUGUCUAGAGGUGGUUCUCGACUCCAACACUCUCAGCUGUCUCUUGCUUUAUCUUUCA
rnacentral:lncRNA from 12 species